GUACACUCCUGCGGGAGGCAGCAGUGGGGAAUAUUGCACAAUGGGCGCAAGCCUGAUGCAGCCAUGCCGCGUGUAUGAAGAAGGCCUUCGGGUUGUAAAGUACUUUCAGCGGGGAGGAAGGCAAUACGGUUAAUAACCGUGUUGAUUGACGUUACCCGCAGAAGAAGCACCGGCUAACUCCGUGCCAGCAGCCGCGGUAAUACGGAGGGUGCAAGCGUUAAUCGGAAUUACUGGGCGUAAAGCGCACGCAGGCGGUCUGUCAAGUCGGAUGUGAAAUCCCCGGGCUCAACCUGGGAACUGCAUUCGAAACUGGCAGGCUUGAGUCUUGUAGAGGGGGGUAGAAUUCCAGGUGUAGCGGUGAAAUGCGUAGAGAUCUGGAGGAAUACCGGUGGCGAAGGCGGCCCCCUGGACAAAGACUGACGCUCAGGUGCGAAAGCGUGGGGAGCAAACAGGAUUAGAUACCCUAGUAGUCCCAU
rnacentral:rRNA from 1 species